rnacentral:pre_miRNA from 1 species
AAUACAAUUGCUGGGUGGUAUGGUAAAGCAUUAUUAAUUUUAUAAGAAACUACCAAACUAUUUUCCAGAGUGACUAUGCCAUUUUACAUUUCCAGUAGCAAU